CCCCGCCGCGGUGGACGGCACCUCUCGGCUGGUCCGCUUUUCGGACCUCGCCUCGAGCCCUCUGCUGGCUCCCACCUCCCGUACCUCUUCGCUCGCAAGAUUCUUCCAGCUCGUCCCGCUCUUACGAUCCCCCGCCAGAUGGAUGAUGGGCUCAUUCUCACCUCCAGGCCUUUUCCCAGCCGCCCCAGCCCGAUGCCCUCCAGAUGCUUUCAGCCUGCUUAUCUUUCAGGAGCCAGAAGCCCGCUCCUCCAGGAGGCCUUCCCUGGAUGCUUCGUCCUCUGGGUCCCCCUCCUGCUUCUUUCCUAGGAAUCAUGUCUGGGAGCCGGGGGUGGGGGGAAAUGGGAACAUCUCUGUCACCAAACGAUCCAGGACAAAUCAGUGUAUUUUACUGCAUCUCCAGACUGGGGGCAAUUAGUCCUGCUUAUCGAUGCUGUAGAAGACAUUACAUGGGCUUCCCUUCUCUUUUUUGGCUUCAAUGUCUUGCUCUGUGGAGAGGGUGACCGCUAUAAGGGGUAAUAAAGGACUGAAUCUG